GAUGAACGCUGGCGGCGUGCCUAACACAUGCAAGUCGAACGGAGAUUACGGACGGAAGUUUUCGGAUGGAAGACUGUAAUUCUUAGUGGCGGACGGGUGAGUAACGCGUGGGCAACCUGCCCUAUACAGGGGGAUAGCAGCUGGAAACGGCUGGUAAGACCGCAUAAGUCGGCGAGACCGCAUGGUUUUGCCGGGAAAUGAGCAAUCAGGUAUAGGAUGGGCCCGCGUCCGAUUAGCCAGUUGGCAGGGUAAAAGCCUACCAAAGCAACGAUCGGUAGCCGGACUGAGAGGUCGGACGGCCACAUUGGGACUGAGACACGGCCCAAACUCCUACGGGAGGCAGCAGUGGGGGAUAUUGCACAAUGGAGGAAACUCUGAUGCAGCGACGCCGCGUGAGUGAAGAAGUAUUUCGGUAUGUAAAGCUCUAUCAGCAGGGAAGAUGAUGACGGUACCUGACUAAGAAGCCCCGGCUAACUACGUG
rnacentral:rRNA from 1 species